UGGGGAAAGGUAUCAGGCUUGGUUGGAGUUGGCUCAGAGGACAACCAGGUUCCCACUUCAUCCUCAUAACCCAGUUUGUAAAGGGCCAUGAAGGUCUCAUGCUGCCAUCCCAGCUAAGACAUGGCAGAGAUGAAGAAGAAUGUGUUGGGUUAGGAUGUUGAGGACCACAUUGGUAGUCAAACUGGUGCACUUACUGGGCGUUUUGUUCCUCAAGAUGAGGUUUUGGAUCUAACACAAAUGGCCAAGAAGGAUUUCAGAGCGAGGAGAAGCAGCUGUUGACGGGGAGCAGGGUGGCUUCUCUGGGGUUUAUUGUUUUAAUCAUGGCCUGAGUGAAAGUGACAGCCUGAAGAUGAAAUAUCUGCUGAAAGGAAAUCAUAACUCUGGGCGACUCCACUUUGCUCUGUGACAGGGGAGUGUGUAUUUUUGUUGGACAUGGUGGAUAGUGAUCUCAGUGGAGCUUUUGCUGGAACCCUCCUGCUGCCUUUAUGCUGUUGGGUUUGUGGCAUCCCCAGCGCUGCAUGGGAGCUUUUAGACCUACCUGGAGCCUUGUGUUGAAGCUGACCUCAGCAGGCCUGGUUUCUGGGGAGAUACGAAGACGUGAAAUCACAAUGCUGAAUGGGGCUUUGUAACCACAAAGGAGACAAGGUGGAAAAGGCAGUGAGCAUGAGGUCUGCUCAUCAGGAAAGAGAAGGACCUUCCCGUUGAGGAUAAAGGAUGCCAAAAGAGAAGGAAAGACUGUUAAGCUGUAAAUGAAUAAGCAGCAGGAAUCCAACAUAUCAAGGGGACAGCCACUACACAUCUGGCACAUGGAAAUUCUGCACGCCCCAUUGCCUGGCCCUAGUGGGUUAAAUGGUGCACGUGGCUGCAAAGUGUUUGAGCUGGCGCAUCUCUAAGCACCAUAAACAUGGGGGAGAACAGUUUCUAAAAUAGUAUCUUUCAUGUUCAUGAAAAAAUGUUCUCAUGUGCUCUGCUGGCUGAGACCACUGUUACGAAACAAAAUGCUUCCCAUCAGCAGUCAUAAGGGCUUGAGCCUGGGCUAGGGUGCUGCUUGAUACAAAGAGCAGUUAACGAGAGCAGAACAAGACCAGAAUAGAAAAGUCAGCAAAGUUGUUAUUUUCCUAAUUAAAAAAACGCAUCCUAAACCUCUAACUGUGCCAGAACACUCACACUCCUUCUGUUGGAUAGGAGCCCUGGCAGCACUUUCGUGCAGAUCUCAACAUCCAGCCCCCACGUGGGGACAGGAGUGACACACAGGGGACAAUCACAGAUGUCUCCAUGCAGCUAUGUGUGUCCCCACCUGCACAGCCCCACAGGCUGCAUGCCUGAGGAUGGCUCAUUCUGCAGAUUUUCUCUUCGAAGGCGGCGUUGCUGCAUGCGUGUAAGUCGAUUUCAUCACAUGUGUUGAGUUUAUUGAAGCAAACAGAGAGAAGCGUGGGCUGUACAGGAGCAGGAAGGUUCCUGUGCCCAAAAUCGUUUGGGAAAUGCGUGUUGCAUGUGCUGUACACAUGCAACUGAUAUUUGUUUGCUCUGUGCUAAUGCACGCAGCUAUAUUCUUGAGAUACAGCUGUAGGUGUAGGGGCUGAAAAGGACCUCUAGAGAUCACUAAGCCCAACUCCCUGCUAAGGCAGGUUCUCUACAGUAGAUUGAGCAGGAAAACAUCCAGGUUUUGAGUAUCUCUAGUCAGGAGAGCAGUGGUGGGUCCAGGCUCUGCUCCCCCAUCCAGCUACUGCACGUGCCAUGUUUUCCACUAAAUGUGAACAGGUAACACAGACUCCCCAUGGGCAGCAAAAGUGAUGAAGAAAAAGGAAGAGAAGGGCAUGGACAGGAGGUAGGUGCUGGGAGGAGCUGAGGAAGGGUCUGCAAUGCUUUGGGACUGAGACAAGCUCUCGUGUCCCUCUGCCCAGCUAAUGUUGUGGGGCUCCUGUCCCUAGUAUUGUUUGUUGGGAAAGGAGGAGUUUGCACAAUGUGGCUGAAAAGCUGUUUCCCCUGCACCCUUCUUGCCACAUUUCACCUUUCCUCCUUUUCCAAAGAUAGGAUUGGAGGAAGCUGUUUAAAGUAGAAGAGGAAAAAAAACCCAAGUCUUUAUUUGUCCUGGCCAAAUGCUAUCUUAUGCAACCAAAUCUGAAAUCUGAUGACCCCCUCCAGAACUUUUAUGCACUUAAACGUCACUGUUUCAGCAAAUUCUAAAACGUGUGGUUUAUUUGACACCAAGUGACUCUGCUCGUGCUUGUUUUUCUUGGGAUGCCUUCAAGGUACGAGUCAUUAAACAACCACUGCUUGAAGGUGCCGGCAUGCUGGCCGUGUCCCGUUAUGGGUGAGUAAUGAGGAAAUGAGCACUUGCUGAUUAAUAGCGAUUCCCACAUUAAUGAUGAACACCAUGGAGGAGG